UGGGGAAUAUUGCACAAUGGGGGAAACCCUGAUGCAGCGACGCCGCGUGAGCGAAGAAGUAUUUCGGUAUGUAAAGCUCUAUCAGCAGGGAAGAAAAAAUAGACGGUACCUGACUAAGAAGCCCCGGCUAACUACGUGCCAGCAGCCGCGGUAAUACGUAGGGGGCAAGCGUUAUCCGGAUUUACUGGGUGUAAAGGGAGCGCAGGCGGUGCGGCAAGUCUGAUGUGAAAGCCCGGGGCUCAACCCCGGGACUGCAUUGGAAACUGUCGUACUUGAGUAUCGGAGAGGGAGACGGAAUUCCAGGUGUAGCGGUGGAAUGCGUAGAUAUCUGGAAGAACACCAAAGGCGAAGGCAGUCUCCUGGGCAAAUACUGACGCUCAUAUGCGAAAGCGUGGGUAGCAAACAGGAUUAGAUACCCUGGUAGU
rnacentral:rRNA from 1 species